rnacentral:rRNA from 1 species
AUUGAACGCUAGCGGGAUGCCUUACACAUGCAAGUCGAACGGCGUGUCGAACGGGUGAGUAAUGUAUCGGAACGUGCCCAGUAGCGGGGGAUCCCUACGCGAAAGCGUAGCUAAUACCGCAUACUUUUGGGGCGGCCGCGAUGGGAUUUGCUAGGUGGGGGGGUAACGGCUCACCAAGUCGACGAUCCGUAGCUGGUUUGAGAGGGCGACCAGCCACACUGGGACUGAGACACGGCCCAGACUCCUACGGGAGGCAGCAGUGGGGAAUGUUGGACAAGGGGGGAAACCCUGAUCCAGCCAGGCCGCGUGUGCGAUGAAGGCCUUCGGGUUGUAAAGCACUUUUGGCAGGAAAGCGGUACCUGCAGAAUAAGCACCGGCUAACUACGUGCCAGCAGCCGCGGUAAUUC